GAGAUGGGGUUUCACUAUGUUGGCCAGGCUGGUCUCGAACUGCUGAUCUCAGGUGAUCGCCCGCCUCAGCCUCCCAAAGUGCUAGGAUUAUAGGCGUGAGCCACCACGCCUAGCCUACCCUAAUAUACUUUCUAUGAGAGUUGUACUUUGAAUUUUUCCGCUUUACUAAAGUACUUCUGAUCUGACCACCAUACUUUUAGGGCUUGAAGCUUUGUUUCCAGAGCCAAAAAUAUGUGCCCAGUAAAAAUCCAAGCCCUGAGCCAUCAGGAAUUGACAGACGCCCUCAGAUUAAAAACAAACUCUAG
rnacentral:lncRNA from 1 species